rnacentral:rRNA from 1 species
GAUGAACGCUGGCGGCGUGCUUAACACAUGCAAGUCGAACGAAGCACUUUAUUUGAUUUCCUUCGGGACUGAUUAUUUUGUGACUGAGUGGCGGACGGGUGAGUAACGCGUGGGUAACCUGCCUUGUACAGGGGGAUAACAGUUGGAAACGGCUGCUAAUACCGCAUAAGCGCACGGCAUCGCAUGAUGCAGUGUGAAAAACUCCGGUGGUAUAAGAUGGACCCGCGUUGGAUUAGCUAGUUGGUGAGGUAACGGCCCACCAAGGCGACGAUCCAUAGCCGGCCGGAGAGGGUGACCGGCCACAUUGGGACUGAGACACGGCCCAAACUCCUACGGGAGGCAGCAGUGGGGAAUAUUGCACAAUGGGCGAAAGCCUGAUGCAGCGACGCCGCGUGAGCGAAGAAGUAUUUCGGUAUGUAAAGCUCUAUCAGCAGGGAAGAUAAUGACGGUACCUGACUAAGAAGCACCGGCUAAAUACGUG